rnacentral:rRNA from 1 species
AAGACCUUGCACUUUUGGAGCGGCCGAUGUCUGAUUAGCUAGUUGGUGGGGUAAUGGCCUACCAAAGCUUCGAUCAGUAGCUGGUCUGAGAGGACGGCCAGCCACACUGGGACUGAGACACGGCCCAGACUCCUACGGGAGGCAGCAGUGGGGAAUUUUGGACAAUGGGCGCAAGCCUGAUCCAGCCAUGCCGCGUGAGUGAAGAAGGCCUUCGGGUUGUAAAGCUCUUUCAGCCGGGAAGAAAAGGUUGCGAUUAAUAAUCGCAAUUUAUGACGGUACCGGAAGAAGAAGCACCGGCUAACUACGUGCCAGCAGCCGCGGUAAUACGUAGGGUGCGAGCGUUAAUCGGAAUUACUGGGCGUAAAGGGUGCGCAGGCGGUUUUGUAAGUCAGAUGUGAAMUCCCCGGGCUUAACCUGGGAACU